ensembl:piRNA 21ur-6480 ncRNA
UAAUUUUGCACGGUUUCUGGU